rnacentral:rRNA from 1 species
UACGCCCGAUCUCGUCCGAUCUCGGAAGCUAAGCAGGGUUGGGCCUGGUUAGUACUUGGAUGGGAGACCGCCUGGGAAUACCAGGUGCUGUAAGCUU